rnacentral:rRNA from 1 species
UACGUAGGGUGCAAGCGUUGUCCGGAAUUAUUGGGCGUAAAGAGCUCGUAGGCGGUUUGUCGCGUCGAAUGUGAAAUCCCGGGGCUCAACCCCGGGUCUGCAUUCGAUACGGGCAGACUAGAGUUCGGUAGGGGAGUCUGGAAUUCCUGGUGUAGCGGUGAAAUGCGCAGAUAUCAGGAGGAACACCGGUGGCGAAGGCGGGACUCUGGGCCGAUACUGACGCUGAGGUGCGAAAGCGUGGGGAGCAAACAGG